rnacentral:rRNA from 1 species
GGCGGCACGCCUAACACAUGCAAGUCGAACGAAGUAGCAAUACUUAGUGGCAAACGGGUGAGAAUAAUGUGGGUUAUCUGCCCAUUGGUUCGGAACAACAUGAGGAAACUUAUGCUAAUACCGGAUAAGCCUUUACAGGGAAAGCUUUAUGCACCGAUGGAUGAGCCCGCACUUGAUUAGCUAGUUGGUAAGGUAAUGGCUUACCAAGGCAACGAUCAAUAGCUGAUCUGAGAGGAUGAUCAGCCACAUUGGGACUGAGACACGGCCCAAACUCCUACGGGAGGCAGCAGUGGGGAAUCUUGCACAAUGGGGGAAACCCUGAUGCAGCGAUGCCGCGUGAGUGAAGAAGGCCUUUGGGUUGUAAAGCUCUUUCGUCGGGGAAGAAAAUGACUGUACCCGAAUAAGAAGGUCCGGCUAACUUCGUGCCAGCAGCCGCGGUAAUACGAAGGGACCUAGCGUAGUUCGGAAUUACUGGGCUUAAAGAGCACGUAGGUGGUUAAAAAAGUUGGUGGUGAAAUCCCAAGGCUUAACCUUGGAACUGCCAUCAAAACUUUUUAGCUAGAGUGUGAUAGAGGGAAGUAGAAUUUCUAGUGUAGAGGUGAAAUUCGUAGAUAUUAGAAAGAACACCGAUUGCGAAGGCAGCUUCCUGGAUCACUACUGACACUGAGGUGCGAAAGCAUGGGUAGCGAAGAGGAUUAGAUACCCUCGUAGUCCAUGCCGUAAACGAUGUGUGCUAGACGUUGGAAAUUUAAUUUUCAGUGUCGCAGCAAAAGCGUUAAGCACACCGCCUGGGGAGUACGACCGCAAGUAACUAAUGAUACG